AUUUAUGUGGAAUAUUUGGAUGAAGAAACUAGGUCUUAGAAAGUAGCGCAAUGUGAAGACUGAAUGAUAACCAGAGGAAUGGGAAGUCACUAGAGGCA